rnacentral:tRNA from 1 species
GCCUGUCUUGCUCAGUUGGUAGAGCACAAGGCUCUUAACCUUGUGGUUAUGGGUUUGAUCCCCACGGUGGGCA